UUUUUUUUUUUUUUUUGUCUUUUCUGUCCUUUUUUAGGGCCGCACUUGCGGCAUAUGGAGGUUCCCAGGCUAGGGGUCUAAUUGGAGCUUAGCCACCAGCCUAUGCCAGAGCCACAGCAACGCCAAAUCAGAGCCGUGUCUGCGACCUACACCAUGGCUCAUGGCAGCACGGGAUCCUCGACCCACUGAGCGAGGCCAGGGAUUGAACCCGCAACCGUAUGGUUCCUAGUCGCAUUCAUUUCUGCUGUGCCAUGAUGGGAACUCCAAUUUUCUGUAUUUUUGAUUACAGCCAUUCUAGUGAGUGUGCGGUAUCCCAUAGAUAUACACAUAGAUAUAGUGAUAUAGAGAUACAUAUGAUACACAUACAUUUUAAAACUUUAAAAAAUGUUUAGUGUUGCCAAACCAACAAUGAUAUGAUGAGCAAUGUCAUGAAAGAUGAAAAGGGAGAGGAAUAAAGAAAAACACAUGAGGUUGAAUAUCAAGAGUUUAAAUAAUGUCUGUAAUGUCAAAUUUGCAAUAACUACAUAACCAGGUCUUUUGACACCUUUAUAAAUGUCCUACAGCAGUGCUUUUAAUUUCAACUUAAUUUGUAAAAUCCUAUCCGGUUUUGGGCGGCCAGAUACUACAGGUUUCCAUGUUUAAUUCAACCAACAUUCAGAAUAUUAUUUUAUCAUGUUAUAUUCUAACCAAAACCAUUUCAUUAUUACUGAAUUAGCUCUUCUCCUAAUUUUUUCAUAGCUCUCUAACUCUACCUUUUGAGUUUCUUUCUAUGGAGUGUUGUCAGUGGGCAAGGCUGAUGAAGCAAAGUAUAUUCAUGUACAUUUGGUCAUGAGGAUAUCAGCAAAAGGCAUGAAAAACGAGUACCCAAGACGUUCUUUAACUUACACUGUGAACAAAUUUCUUUUCAUCCAUAUCUCAAAUUCUUGUCUAUAUAAUCUCAGAUCACUUUUUUCCACAGCACUUAUUUGUCAUCUCCAUAUCAAUUCUUUCUCUUUUUUGUAGUGAAAAUAAUGACAGGACUAUACACUUUCUUUAUCAUUCACAUGUUAUUCUAUUUUUAAGUAGCUUGUAAAACAAGAUGUGUUCUUCUGGAUCCAAACAAGUCCUUGUGGAUAGAAUCUUUUAUUGGCUGAAUACCUGUUAUUUUAUCAAAAUUGUCUUUAAUUUAAAACAUGCAAAAUAUUUCCAAAGAAAUACGACCGUGUAUAGAAUAACUGACAGUUUUCUUUACUAUAUAUCAUUUAAACAAAUAAUUUAUCUUUAUUUAUAUAUUAACCUCCCUCAGCAACCAGGUAUAUCUGUGAUUUACAAAUUAUUCUUUUUGUGAGGGUUACAUGUUUCUCUUUGCUCUCACCAGAUAUUUUCUGCUGAUUUGCUGAUUACCUACUUGUCUUUCUGUCUUUAUCAUAGCAGUCUUAUUCCCAGCUAAGCAUGGUUGCAUAUAGAGUUUUGUAAUACUUCUUCAUUCUGUUUCAGGAAAGCAGUUAAAAUCAGUGUUGUCAUGAACACCAGUGUAAAAUUGUAAAAAUGGAAACAACAAUCACAAGAAAAAUUUUUUUAAAUAAAAGCUCAAAAAAACCCAAACAAAAUCAAUGCUGUCAUUAUCUCUCCUCAUAGAUCAAUGCUUCACCUUAGAUUUCUUGAAACGUAGUGUUUUAAGCAGUUUGAAAUCACUAUUUUAAGAGUUCUAAUGUUUGACAUGUUUCUAUAUAAGCUUUAUUUAAUCAAAAUAAGUCCAGUGUUUAUUUCUAUAGCUAGUUAUACUGUUAGUGGGUUUAACUUGAGAAUAAAUGGUGAUGUGUGGUUGUUCAAAGCAGUCCGAGUAGAAUAUAAAAUACUUUACAUAAAGUGAGUAAAGCAGAGCUCCAUUGAGACUCAGCAGGUAAGAAGCCCACGUUGUCUCUGUGAGGAUGUGGGUUUUGAUCCCUGUUCUUGCUCGGUGUGUCAAGGAUCUGACAUUGAUGAAAGGAGCAGCGUAGGCCCCAGAUGCAGCUCAGAUCUGGUGUUGUUGUGGUUCUGGAAGAGGCCUCAGCUGCAGGCCUGAUUCAGCCUCUAGCCUAGCUUGGGAACUUCUAUCUACCAUAAAAACAAAAUAAAAUUUAAAAAAUUUUAAAAAUAAAGUGAAUAAAGCUGUCUUUUUUGAAUAAUUAAAAAUGGGAGAGAAUGGAGCAGAGCUAAACAAAAAUGGGUUAACCAUAAAUGACAUUUAUUUGAAAAAAUAAUUGUAAUUGUGUAUAGCUAGUAUUUUAUUGAGUAGAAUGUCAAAAUAUGUAAUAUAUCUGGCAAAUUCCCUCACCAGUUGAUCUAUGAGCAAAUUAUUUUUAUAUUAUUGGUGUUGCUAAAUUUUCUAUUUUAGUGUUGGAAAAUUUUAGUUACCCAAACCAGUCAAAACUAAAGUUAAACAAUUAGAAAAUAUUAAUAGCUAUUGGAUCCCUAUUAUGCAAUAUUAUUUAUUUGAUUUUCCCCAGAUGUGUUGAAAACUUUUAAAUGAGCAUAUAAUAUACAGACCUCCAUCAUGAGCACUGUUACAUCAAAUGAUAAUAAAAUUAUUCUGUUUAUAUUAGUUUAAUCUGAUACAACAACAGUUCUGGAGAUUGGGAAGUCCAAAUCAAAGUGCUAGCAGAUGUAGCGUCUGGUAAGAUCCUGCUUCCUUGUUUGGUCUAAUUAAACCAAAUCAUCCAUUUCGGUACCAUUUUAAAGGUACUAGCCCUGCUCAGCCACUUGCCUUAUCUACUCAGGAACCAAAAUCAAACCACCUAAAUCAAACACUUCACCUAAGGCCUAUAUGCAUCUUAACCUGCUCUAGUAUAAUAAUCUAUCGAAAUUUUACCUGUCAAGCAAAACAUCUAUAAAUUUUGACCUUCAUAGGAUUUUUCAAUUAAAAAAAAAGUUAUAUAACUUUUUCCACCCCUAAAAUGAAGGCUGGUGAUAUAGAAAAAAAGUUGAAAUAGUUGGGUAAGUUAAUCAAAAGUAUUUUACACAGUUGUUAAACCCUUGAAGAAUCAACUGUGAGGAGGGUAAUGAGAUACUAUAAUUGGGGAUCAUCUAUUCUACUUAUUAUUGUCGUAUACAGACAAAUUGUUUUCUGAUAGCAAGGGAGUGAAAUUAAUCUUAAAAGUUUGGAAGGAAGCGUGGUUUCUAUACACACAAAAUUUUAAAAUAUAUGUCUACUAACUGUAAUUCAUUUAUAAAAGAUGUGAAAUUUCAAUAGAUUCAUUUAAGAUUUCAUUUGUAUUUUCUAAAUGUUGCCUUAGACAAUUAAUGUUCUAGGAACUGGCAAACAAAUAUAAGUAAAUCCUGAACAAAGGCACAUAGAAAAUUGAAACACAGAAAUUGUCUUUUCUUUUUCAAUUCUAUUGCUAGGAAAUUCAAAUCCCAUUUUGCCUUUACAUGAUUAUGCAUGGAAUUAUUUUUCAUGAUGUUGCUUCAAGGAUACCUACUGUAUUCAACUGGUGCCUGAUGGCUUGGUUUUAGUGAUAGCAUUAUGAAAUAUAGUCAACUACACUGGCAAUAUAAAAAUUUUUAAAUUCAUGAAUAAAAUAGUUUAAAAUUGAUGGAAGCUCAAAAGACAGUAGAAUUGGCUUAUAACUAUAUAAAGAUUCAACAGCUUAAAUAACAAAAGAAAAAAGAUUAUUUAAGUUGUAAUUGCUAGAAACAUGUAGUCAUUUUUAAAAAUUCAUUUAGGAGUUCCUGUUCUGGCUCAGCGGAAACGAAUCUGACUAGCAUCCAUGAGGAUGCAGGUUAGAUCCCUGGCCUUGCUCAGUGGGUUAAGGAUCCGUUAUUGCUGUGGCUGUGGUAUUGGCCAGUAGCUACAGCUCUGAUUCAAUUCCUAAAAAGACAAAAAUAAAUAAAAAUUCAUUUAUUCAGUUUAUUCAUUUUAAAAAAUUUAUUUUGUAGUUAUUUUUGUGUUAGUUUUUCCAGUUUUUUGAGAUAUAAUUGGCUCUAGUAAUUUAUUUUUUACUUUUUGGACUACUUCAGUGCUUACUGGGUCUAUUUGGAUUUUGGAAAAUCCUGAAAUGUAUGACUAUUUUGGGAAACUCCUAUGCCGUAGGCAUGGUAACUUAAAUAAUAGAAAGUAAUUAUUAUAGUUUUGGAGGCUGGGAAGCCCAAUAUCAAGGUGUUGGUCAAUUUGGUUUCUUCUGGAUUGCCAGGUGACUUCUUUCUCUCUGUGUGCUCACAUGGCCUUUCCUCAUU
rnacentral:lncRNA from 1 species